GGAAGAAGCGCAAGUGACGGUACCUGCAGAAGAAGCACCGGCUAACUACGUGCCAGCAGCCGCGGUAAUACGUAGGGUGCAAGCGUUGUCCGGAAUUAUUGGGCGUAAAGAGCUCGUAGGCGGUCUGUCGCGUCGGAUGUGAAAACCCAGGGCUCAACCCUGGGCCUGCAUUCGAUACGGGCAGACUAGAGUUCGGUAGGGGAGACUGGAAUUCCUGGUGUAGCGGUGAAAUGCGCAGAUAUCAGGAGGAACACCGGUGGCGAAGGCGGGUCUCUGGGCCGAAACUGACGCUGAGGAGCGAAAGCGUGGGGAGCGAACAGGAUUAGAUACCCUGGUAGUCCACGCCGUAAACGUUGGGCGCUAGGUGUGGGGAACCUUCCACGUUCUCCGUGCCGCAGCUAACGCAUUAAGCGCCCCGCCUGGGGAGUACGGCCGCAAGGCUAAAACUCAAAGGAAUUGACGGGGGCCCGCACAAGCGGCGGAGCAUGUGGCUUAAUUCGACGCAACGCGAAGAACCUUACCAAGGCUUGACAUAUACCGAAAACUCGCAGAGAUGCGGGGUCCGCAAGGGCGGUAUACAGGUGGUGCAUGGUUGUCGUCAGCUCGUGUCGUGAGAUGUU
rnacentral:rRNA from 1 species